rnacentral:rRNA from 1 species
AACGAGAAUCUUUGAACAGAUCUUUUCGGAGUGACGUUCAAAGAGGAAAGUGGCGGACGGGCGAGUAACGCGUGAGUAACCUGCCCAUAAGAGGGGGAUAAUCCAUGGAAACGUGGACUAAUACCGCAUAUUGUAGUUAAGUUGCAUGACUUGAUUAUGAAAGAUUUAUCGCUUAUGGAUGGACUCGCGUCAGAUUAGAUAGUUGGUGAGGUAACGGCUCACCAAGUCAACGAUCUGUAGCCGAACUGAGAGGUUGAUCGGCCGCAUUGGGACUGAGACACGGCCCAGACUCCUACGGGAGGCAGCAGUGGGGAAUAUUGCGCAAUGGGGGCAACCCUGACGCAGCAACGCCGCGUGCAGGAAGAAGGUCUUCGGAUUGUAAACUGUUGUCGCAAGGGAAGAAGACAGUGACGGUACCUUGUGAGAAAGUCACGGCUAACUACGUGCCAGCAGCCGCGGUAAUACGUAGGUGACAAGCGUUGUCCGGAUUUACUGGGUGUAAAGGGCGCGUAGGCGGACUGUCAAGUCAGUCGUGAAAUACCGGGGCUUAACCCCGGGGCUGC